UACAUAGGGUCCAAGCGUUGUCCGGAUUUACUGGGCGUAAAGAGCGUGUAGGCGGUAAGGCAAGUUAAAUUUCAAAUGCUCUUGGCUUAACCAGAGCAUGGAUUUAAUACUAUCUUACUUGAGAUUGGGAGAGGAAAGCGGAACUAACAGUGUAGCGGUGAAAUGCGUAGAUAUUGUUAGGAACACCCGUGGCGAAGGCGGCUUUCUGGACCAAUUCUGACGCUGAGACGCGAGAGCGUGGGGAG
rnacentral:rRNA from 1 species